GGAAACAGCGGCGGCAGAAGUUCCAGCUCUCAACAAGGGAGAGGAGUCGGGGCGGGAGGGCUGAGGGGAAAAAACCCGGCUCCUCUGCCCAGCGCAGCAGUGUCCUUUUCCAACCUUUCCCGCCCCAGCUGGGAAAGAUGCCCCUGGAAGUUGUGGUGGAGCUGCACAUUCACGCGAUCACUUGCCCAGGUGUGUUUCUCCCAGAGAAGAAAGGACUUGUACUUGGUGUUUGCAUCUUUGGUCAAUAUAGGGAGACACAAUGCUUUCCUGCUGUGUUCCCCCUGAUGAUUCACGAGGUUAUGAAAUUUGACAAGAUAUUUGUAACUGCACUUGAUCCAGCCGCUGUAGCGGAGCUUCUAGAAACUUACAGGAUCAGGUUUGAACUAAUACAGCUAAUAUAUCCAGAUGGGGAAUUGUUGGCCUACUAUGAAGAAAACACCCGGGACUUUCUGUUCCCUGAACCCAGGCUGACUCCUCUUUAUCCUGGAAAAGAUCGAGAACUGCUAAUGAAGACACCUCUAGGCUUCCCAGGCAUCUCUCCAAAAAUAGAGUUUUCUACGAUGACAGCCAUCAAAGAACUUUCUUGUCCAUUAAAGAGACUUUUUGAAGAAAGGUUGAGACAAUUGAGGCCUUCCUCUGCAUCAUGUUUUAAGGGAGGGUUCAGUCCUCAGCUAAAUGCUUUAAGAGCCAGGACAAAGGAGGAUACUUGUGAGAGGAUGAGCAAAAGCUUACGAUCUCGUUCUCCAUCACCACAUGUGAUACGGCGCCUUUGCCAGGAGGAGAGGCCAGUGCAUUCAAGCCUUGUAUCUCGUGGUUUAAAAUCCUUACCAGAAAACAAACCUCCAUUUGUAGUUAGACAUGUAGACAGUUCAAAGCCAUUUGGUGAACAAAUUCCUUUUAAACCAAACACUCCAAAGUCCAGGAAAAAAAUCGACUUUACAUGCUUUGAUUUUCCCCUGAAAAGAGCUUCUUCUCUUGACAGCAUGGCAGCUGAUUUAAAGAUUGAAAGGGAUCAAGAUGAAUGGAAUAUUCGCAAGCAUAAAUUAUUAUCUACAUAUUCAGAUAGAUGUGGAAGUAUCUUGUGUGGUCAUAGUAAUCAAGGGGAUUCCAGUUUUCAUGAGACAAGUUCACAUGCUGCUCGUUACCACCGAUCGCUUAGUCCACUUCAGCAUUGGUACCCUCAACAAGACAGAUCAUGCUGCAGCCCUCGCUUCACUUGGGAGAAGAUUCAUGACAGGGUACGGGAUCUUCUGACCUCUCGAAAAGCCCGACAACGACUCUGCCUGGGAGUAACUGACCCUGAAGUUGAUGAAAUCCUUGAAAGAAGAAACCCCUGUUUGAGGCACUCUCCACUACACGAACCUUUUGAGUACAAAUACUACUAAGUAAUUGUCACUUGUAUAGGAUUCUGUAUUAUGGUCUUCCUAAUUUUACAAUGAGAGCAAUCAGGGGAAGUUUGAAGAACUCAUUUAAAGUAACAGUACAUGCACUCAUUUAGAGCUGAACAGCCUUUCAUGUUAUCUCUAAGAAGCCAUCUUGUUCUGUCUCUUUCUCUUUGAAUGAAAUCCUGUACUGUGUAUUUUUACCAGGAUGGUCCCGCCUGAGAUGAUACUGAAAUACUGAAGGAGGAGGGACAGUACAUUCCAACAUGGAAGUAUUCGGGUUUUAUUUGGAAGAUCUUGCUCAUCAGGCCAGUCUUUGAUGGCAAGAGGACAAUGGUGGAUCUCCAUAGUACAAUAAAGCUCAGUGGCAGGCUCAUGUGCAA